rnacentral:ncRNA from 1 species
UUUACUGCGAUGACGGGGAAGAGUACAUUUAGAUACUUUAUCAGAGAGUCGGGAAAAUGGUGGAAGCCCGGCAAAGUGUCUAUACGGAAGGCAGCCCUUGAGCUUCUCCUUGAGAAAUUGAGUUUCCUAAAUAUUUGUUUGGGAAACUCAAAAGUAGAGGAAGACGUAUCCUCACGUUACAGAGGAGCAGUAUUUAUAACAGUAUGGAUGAUUGACAGACUGUUAUAAGAACUGGCAGAGUGAGUACCUGUACGGUACUAAUUAGGGUGGUAACGCGGAAUGCUCCUUCGUCCCUUGC